rnacentral:rRNA from 1 species
CCUACGGGAGGCAGCAGUGGGGAAUAUUGCGCAAUGGGCGAAAGCCUGACGCAGCGACGCCGCGUGAGGGAUGAAGGUCUUCGGAUUGUAAACCUCUUUCAGCAGGGACGAAGCGAAAGUGACGGUACCUGAAGAAGAAGCACCGGCUAACUACGUGCCAGCAGCCGCGGUAAUACGUAGGGUGCAAGCGUUGUCCGGAUUUAUUGGGCGUAAAGAGCUCGUAGGCGGUUAGACACGUCGGAUGUGAAAACUGGGGGCUCAACCCCCAGCCUGCAUUCGAUACGGUCUGACUAGAGUGUGGUAGGGGUAACUGGAAUUCCUGGUGUAGCGGUGAAAUGCGCAGAUAUCAGGAGGAACACCGAUGGCGAAGGCAGGUUACUGGGCCACCACUGACGCUGAGGAGCGAAAGCGUGGGGAGCAAACAGGAUUAGAUACCCUGGUAGUCCACGCCGUAAACGGUGGGCGCUAGAUGUGGGGACCAUUCCAUGGUUUCUGCGUCGCAGCUAACGCAUUAAGCGCCCCGCCUGGGGAGUACGGUCGCAAGACUAAAACUCAAAGAGAGUGCGNGNGAGAGCGACGACGACGACGACGGAGGAGGAGG